CCCCUCAGACCCGCCGGGGCUGCUCCGCCCGCCCGUCCCGCCGGGCAGCCCUCGAGGCUCCAUCCCCCGGAACCAUCGGGCCUCGUCCCUUUGCCCUUCCACCCACACACCCCAUCCCCAUUUAUUUAUUCCCGUUCCAUUUGUUCCCACGGGGAGCCCCUCCAGCGCCGUGCUGGGUCCCGCCAAGUGGCCAGCGCUGAGGGGCCGCUCCAGUUCAGCGCCGAUGUGUGACCGGCCCCGAGGGCCCAGCGGUGCCAGGCUCGGUGAGGGCAGGCAGAGACCCCCGAGGCACCCCCGGAAAGGCACCUUGGCGCUGGCACUGGCAGUGAUUCACUGCCUGUUUUCCACUGAUUUAUUGCUUGGGAAAGAACUGACAGCUCUGCUCGUCAUCUGCUCACCACCCAAGCUAUGAAGUCCCACUCCAGCAUGUACUGAGCAAGAGCAAUGCCUUGAAAAAUUCACAAUAGCAAAGACAGAGCCUAAGGAAUGGGAUUUACCAACGCCCGGGACGCGGAGCGCCGGGAGGCGGCGGGGGGAGAGCCCGCCGCGCCACCGCCCAGCGCUGAGGAGAACGCGGCGCCGAAGGGAAGGAGAAGCCAUGAUGGCGGCUGCCCUCACACAACACGGAGCGCGACCGGGAGCGUCGUGCCCGCCGCCGGCCGCCCCUCCCGCCGCCCGGGACACGGCGCUGCCGCAGCCUUUCACAUAAUAAACCCACCAGAAUUCGGCGGGGAGGCCAUUUUCGUGGGCUGGGUGGCGGCACUAAAGCACAACUGCUGUGAAUAUCAACUGCGUCACGGCUCUCCAUCUGUAACACUCAGGCUGCAAAGGGUCCCUCACUUGGAAGGAAACUCCCUCAUUUUGGAUAUACUUCCAGACCUCCUUUUUCCCCCCUCUCUCCAAGUCACUGCCUCUCGGUAUGAAGGAUUUUACAGUGCUUUCUAGGGAGACAUCCGCCAUUAAGACUCACCGUCGUGAAAAACACCCCCCCAUUUUGUUGCCUGUUUUUUGUCGAGCUUCUGUAAUUAGACGGAUAAAACAUGUAAGGGAUCCCUACCACCACAACCGUCUUCUCGCCUUUUUUAAACAUCAACCUCACUAACAUCUUACUGUUCACAGGCAGAUUUUUUUUUUGUGCUUUUAAUUUAACAGCCACGUAAUGCCUGCAAUGGAUUCACAGCGUCUCUCCGCACCAAAAAAAAAAAAACCAAACCCACCCAGGGUUGAGGACGACCAAGAGCUUUGUGCAGAAAGAGAAAUCAAAUCCCUCCCUGAAAAGAGACGUUUCAGAGGCACUGUUAGAUGUUUCUGAGGAGAAGGAGAUCGCCACCGCUUUCAGACGACCAUUGGGAUCUUUCCACCCAGGACAAUACCAUUAGCUACAGGCCUGGGCUAUUUGUUCCUCUGCAAGGGCAAAAGGGUUUACUUACCCGCACACCAUAGUUGAAUGCAGCUCUGAAGGUGAAGUUGUUACUCUUUUUUAAAAUAAUGGCUAUAAAUAUAUAUGUGAUCUGUAUCACCA